GAAGAGUUUGAUCCUGGCUCAGAUUGAACGCUAGCGGGAUGCUUUACACAUGCAAGUCGAACGGCAGCGCGAGAGAGCUUGCUCUCUUGGCGGCGAGUGGCGGACGGGUGAGUAAUAUAUCGGAACGUGCCCAGUAGCGGGGGAUAACUACUCGAAAGAGUGGCUAAUACCGCAUACGCCCUACGGGGGAAAGGGGGGGAUCGCAAGACCUCUCACUAUUGGAGCGGCCGAUAUCGGAUUAGCUAGUUGGUGGGGUAAAGGCUCACCAAGGCAACGAUCCGUAGCUGGUUUGAGAGGACGACCAGCCACACUGGGACUGAGACACGGCCCAGACUCCUACGGGAGGCAGCAGUGGGGAAUUUUGGACAAUGGG
rnacentral:rRNA from 1 species